rnacentral:misc_RNA from 1 species
AAGUCGUAACAAGGUUUCCGUAGGUGAACCUGCGGAAGGAUCAUUAUCAAAAUAUAAUUAUCCAACGUAUGUUAACUAUCUCUUUCGGGAGAUUGUUAACAUAUAAACCAAUCUGUGAAACGUUUUGUUUUUUUUGCUGGAGUUUGUUUUUAUUGGAAAGGACCUAUAACAAAGUCUGAUCUGAUUUUCAAUUCCAGCAAAAAAAUAUAUAUCUUAUUAACCAAUUGAACCUUAUUUUGAUUGUUAAGAUCAAAUAAUAAUUCUCUAUUGUGUGAACUGAAUUGUUUCUUACUCUUUUUGUAACAAAAAAGAGAAGAAAUUAUAUUUUACGAAACAUAAUAAGAACAACUCUUAGCAACGGAUAUCUUGGUUCUCGUAACGAUGAAGAACGCCAGC